GCGGCCGUGGGCAGGAGAUACGACUGUGAUAAUAAUAAUAAUAAUAAUUACUUCUAUACAAAUAAAAGAAUGUGAGAAAUCCUAUAAAGAAAAUAGCAGAUUCUGGGGACUAAUGUGCAAAAACUCAAAAUUCCUCUCCCUCAACGUCGACAGUUCUUCUUUCCCCGUCCCCCGAUCACAAACCCUAACCCUAGAAAAGUUGGAUUGCGAUGGCCGAAUGGUGGAUGAGUGUCUUCUGCAUCGGCGACGGCGGAUUCAUCGUGUCUGUUCCAAUGACUCUUCCUUCGUGGUAUCCAUUUCUCCAAAAACAAAAACAAAAAAAAGCCUUCUCUAGUUCUUGAUGCUUGCGCUCUCUUUUGGCUCCGUCGUUUGGAUGUUCUUUUUCCAAGAAAACGUUGGACGUGGAAGAGCGGUGACCUGAUAUGUCAUAUAUCUGAUGAAUCAGCUAGCAGGGGAUGAAUUGCCUCCCAGAAGAUGUCUUCCAUAGAUUCUACAUGAGCAGAACAUGUACAUUGAAGAAGCCAAAGUCUUAAUGAGAAAGGCCGCACGAAGUGAUUUGGGCACAGAUGAUCUUUUGUUGCUUGCAAGUGAUGAUAGUGAAGAAGAGGGGAGAUUGAUGACAUGGAAUCCAGGCAUAUUCUGAUGGAAAGAUGCUGCAGGAGAUUUUGACCUCAACGAUCAUGAUGGAAUUGCUAAUUAGGAUAAUGUUGAUUUGCUUGGAAAGGAUAGUGAUGCAGAGACACAGCCAGACAGUAAAUUCACUUCACAUGGGUACGGUGGAAGAACAAAUGAUGGUAGCGUUGAUAUGUGGAAUAGUAAUUAUGAGGAAGGUGGUGACUGAUGAUCUUCGUGAUGUUAGUACUAAAGAAAAAAAGGAGAAAAACAAAAAUAUAUCUAAUUGAGCAUACUUAUCACGUGUGUGUGUGUGUGUUGAUAUUUUGUCUAUGUUUGACUGACGAUCUCCGUGAUGUUAGUACUAAAGAAAAAAAAGUGAAGAAAAACAAAAAUAUAUCUAAUUGAGCAUACUUGUCACGUGUGUGUUGA